rnacentral:tRNA from 1 species
GUUUUUAUAGCUUAUAGAGAGCGUAGCACUGAAGAUGCUAAAGAAAUUUUUUAAAUUUAAAAACA